ACUAAAUUACGAAGAAAAGACACAUUAUUUUGUCAUUGUUCAAGCAAAUGACUGAGGACAGAAUCUUAAUGAGCGAAGGACAAGUACAACCAGCCUGACAGUAGAUGUGCUCGAUGGGGACGAUGUGGGACCAAUGUUUCUUCCCUGUGUCUUGGUGAAUAAUACUUGUGACUGUAGACCUCUCACCUACCAAGCGAGCUUGCCAGAACUGACUGAUCCUGCCACCCAAGACGGUCUUGAAUCGCUCCACUCCAUCCAUUUCUGCUCUUCCAGUAAAAGGCUCCAGCACCUGCUCACAGCUGCAAUGAGAGAGGAUCAGCAGCUACCCCACAAGCCAGGACAGGAGUGUGCAAGUGCAGACCCGUUGUAAAACAAAGAGUGGGACUCAGAAGAAAGACUCCACUGAGAGGCCACUAACAGUCAAAAGCUCAAGAGCAGCAAAAGGCAGGACUUCUACCACCGUGUACACGGGUUGAGGCAGGACACAGGGCGUACACAGACCCUUCACAGCAUCUAUCAUCAUGCAAGGGAGUUUUGAUACCAACAGCUCUUGCCGGGAGCAGCAUCCUCUCUUUUGUACCCAGCGGUGUUUUGCACCCAAACUAAGGAGCAAAGAAAGUUGCAAUCAAUG